UGGGGAAUUUUGCACAAUGGGGGAAACCCUGAUGCAGCGACGCCGCGUGAUUUAGAAGGCCUUCGGGUUGUAAAAAUCUUUUCUAUGGGAAGAAAAUGACAGUACCAUAGGAAUAAGGACCGGCUAAUUACGUGCCAGCAGCCGCGGUAAUACGUAAGGUCCGAGCGUUGUCCGGAAUCAUUGGGCGUAAAGGGUACGUAGGCGGGUAAGCAAGUUAGAAGUGAAAUCCUAUAGCUCAACUAUAGUAAGCUUUUAAAACUGCUCAUCUUGAGGUAUGGAAGGUAAAGUGGAAUUCCUAGUGUAGCGGUGAAAUGCGCAGAUAUUAGGAGGAAUACCGGUGGCGAAGGCGACUUUCUGGCCAUAACCUGACGCUGAGGUACGAAAGCGUGGGUAGCAAACAGA
rnacentral:rRNA from 1 species